rnacentral:lncRNA from 1 species
GCUGCCCCUCCUCUGCAACUUCCAUCCGCGAGGCUUCCGCCACUGUGUGUUCGCCACAGCCGCUUCAGCGGUCUCCCCACGAAGCUCGCCGCGACGACGCCGCGCCGCCGAGGUCCCCGACGCUUGAGUCCUCCUCCGCCCGAGCCCACCGUGCCGCGCCGAGCCUUGCCCCUGCUCUGCUCCCUGACAAACCGCCUCACCGCGCACGCCGACGCCGCAUGGAGCUCGAAGCCAGUCCCGUCCGACGCCUGGAUCUUCCUCCGCACGAGCCCCGACGACCCCCGCCGUUCGCCUCUACCGUCUCCCCUGCAGCGCCUCCACCCGCGACGCGUCUGUUCCGACGCCUCGCCCACACCACGACAACGCUGCUGCAACCACCGACCGUUGCACCCGCACCGCGAUCUCGCCUGUCGCCGGAGCUCUCCAUCGCCCACGAGCUCGCUGCUCCGCCAACAAGUCCCGAACAGAAUGCUAGCCCCUUGCGGAGACGCCGUCCGACUUGUCCGCGGCACCUCUUCCUCAGCCGCGACGCAGCCCCUACCGGAUCGACGCCUGCACGCCGGUGCUCUGUCCCUACCACCGGACGCCGAGCCGACGCCCCUGCAGCGCCCCUGUUCGCGAAGCUACCACCGAUUCACCUCCUCGCCGAUCGCUUGCUGCUGUUUUCCUCUCGCCGGAGCUCUGACGAUCAUCCCCUCACGCCGGCGACUCCUCACCGGACCGGCCACCACGUGCUGCCUUGCUAAGAAGAAAAGGAAAAACAACAGAAAAAGCAAAAUCAAUUAGGUUGUUUUUAUUUUUUCAUUUAUUUUACUUUAUUUUGUUUAUAUUCUUUAGUUAUUUACUUAAUUGGAUCCCAAUGUUCACUUUAUGAAUCUUGUAGUUAUUAUCCUCAAGAGUUAUCCCUAAACUUAUUGUAAUUAUUAAUUUGACCCGUAAGAUGUCGGGUUAUUUUUUUUAAUUACAUUAAUUUUUGGGGUUUGUUGAUAGUUUUUAAGUACUAAAUCAAUAUAAUUAUUAAUUUUAUCCGUAAGAAUUCGGAUCAGAUUUUUAGUUAUUUUGAACUCUUUGUUGUGAUCAUUAGGGUUAGGAUAAUCGUUAAUAUGACCUGUGAGACAACAUGUUAUUUUUUCGAUUAUUUUGAUCCUUUAUUUGAUUGCAUAUCUUGAUUGUUUAGAUUUAAUGUUUAGCUGAUAAUUGCUUGUUUUGGAGAAUCACUAAAAAAAUCUAAAAAAAAAUAUUUGAAUUAAGAUUCAGUUUGUUUCUUGUUAUCUUGCAUAUCUAGGAUAGGGAUUUUAGUUCGAAAAAUAUAAAAAAAAAAUGCAUUAAUUUAGGAUUUUAGUUGCAUGUUUAAUUACAUGGCAAUUUUAAAUUUUGAUUUUUUUUUAAUAAAAAAUAAAAGAUAAAAAAUAUCAUGCAUAUGUCAUGUAGAAUUAGGGCUUGCUCCGCACGUCAUUGCAUAUUAGAUCAAUUACAUGUUAGAUUAAGAUAAUAUCUUAGUUUAAAUUAGGAUUUAAUGUGACUUAAUCCUUAGUUUAAAUUAGAUAGAAUUUUAAUCUAGCUAGAUUAUUUUCGCAUUUUUAAAUAGAAAUAUCAAAUGCACAUCAUCUAGUUUUUAUUAGAACUUCCUCGUCAUUAGACUAAAUCAUUUAAUAAAUGUCGCAUGACAUAUAACUCGCUUGCUAGAUUAUAUGCAGCAUGUCAUCUUAGUUUAAAUAAUUUUGUAUGUCAUUGCAUCGCAUUACUUGUCAUUAGAAUUAGGUCAUUUAGAUUGCAUUUAAUUAUUGCAUUUCUUCAUGUCAUAUAGUUUAGGUCAUGCUGCUAUGUCAUAUUAGAUUAUUAACAUGCAUUGCAUAAGUCAUGAUUUUCAUUAAAUAAAGUGAAAACAAAAAAUUGAAAUUGCGUGUUAAUUAGAAAUCAUAUCUAUGGCUGCUGAUGUGAAUUCUGAUUUAACAAUGCAGAUGCUUUCGUUGCUUCUAGGUAUAUUUUGCAAUAUUAAAUUGCUUUCUUGAGUGUUAAAUUGGUGGUAUGCGCACACGUAUGAUCACCUCACAUGUUAAGAAGUUAGAUUAAAAUCAAUUCAAUUGCCAAACAUUUUUUGAAAAAAAUGAAAUAAAAAGGUACCGAAAGGGCACUAGGAUAGUCUAGUGUAACCAAGUCCCCGAACUCAUAAACCUCUGGUUCGUAGGAGUAAAGUAAAUCUCCCGUUACUUUACUUGGGUUUCUAAUCGACCCACCAAAAAUAGAUUAGUGGCGAUUCCUGAUAAAAUCAAUUUGCAUGUUCAGAAAUUCAAACCUAAGUCGCGAAUUGGUAUGGGCUUGGGAGAGUCCGAGUUAAGCUUAAAGACUUAGUAAUCCAUUAACCUAGUUUUAGGUGGUGAACCCGAAAAAUUUAGGUCGUGACACAUAAUCACUGGAGCAUGCAACUAUUGAUGCAUGUUAGACAAAUUGAAUGUACAGGUCAACAUUAAAAAAUGGACAUCAAGGAAGAAUAGGGCGACCUUGCCUUUUUAAAUAGCCAUGGGAUGGUAUAUCUCGAGAUACUUGUACAUAAUUAUCUUAAAUUCGAGUAGGUACAAUUAAAAUCCCUAACACUAAGCAAGGUAGCUAGCAUCUUUUUUGCAUUGAAUUUGCGUGCAUCUAAGUUAUGCUAAAAGUAUGUUCAGUUCCUGAAAUUGUCAAAAUUCAAACUUGCUGUGCUUUAGACGUUUAUAGAACAUCCAUUUGAUCUCGUCCGUAGUCUUGUUCAAGGUGCUUUCAUAUAUUUUUUAAACAGUUGAAUUUUCUGUUUAACUUAAUCUUUCCCUUUCUUAUGACUCUCUUGGAUAUGUAUGAAUAUGGAAUUAAGUAAAUCCAAAGCACAAAAACAUCAUAAGAGGUCAGCCAUGCUCGCGACAAGCCGAGGGGAAACAAAUAUAACAAUUCAACUAAAAUUUGCAAUAUAAUGCACUGAUGAUAUAGUUCAUAAAUUGUUAUUGUUUCUGUAGUUGCUUUCUGCAAAUUGUUUUUUAUUUCGUGUUAGCUCAAUCAUAAAAGAAAUGCUCCGAAAAACAAAAAAUCUUCUACCAAUCCUUUUAUUUACUUGUAUAAUGAAAAUUGUUAAAAAAAAUUAAAUUAACAUAUUCUUUAUUUAAAUAUGGUAAAAUAGUUCAAAAUACAAUAAGGAAUGAGUCGUAUUUAAAUUUAGUUGUAUUUUAUUUUUUAGCGUUGAAGAUAUAACUUGCAAUAAAUUAAUCAAGUUAGAAUUGAAACGCAUGAAUGUCCCUUAAAUCAUAUUUUACUUUUGCUUGUGUUCUCGUCAUUAAAUGUAAAAAUUUUGAACCAAUACAUAUUUCAUGCAAAAAAUCUAAUAUAUCUCGUUCAUAAACUACUAGAGCUGUUAACGGUUUGAAUUUUUCCCUUUUGCAGAAAUGACCAAGGAGAUUAAAAUUGAUGUCAAAAAAUUUCUCUAGAUAAUUAUAAAAAAAAUUCAAUAUGCCACAGCUUUUGUGGUUAGUAUUAACAUUAAUCUGUCGCGCAAUUUGAAGUUUACAAAUAUAUAUACAAAUCAGAACCAUCGUAGUGGGGAUAUCUACGGAAUCAAUUUCAUAUUAUUUUGAAAUUUUAAUAAACACGUGUACUUUCUUUUUUGGGUCAUAAUAUAUACGCAUGUACUUAAUUUAUGACUUUAUCUGCAACAUCAAUUUAAGGUGCAAUUUCCACUAUUUAUCUUAACAUAUUCAUUUCAAUUUUGGUAGUUUCUCACAGUGGGGGAAAAAAACAAACCGAUACUUCCAUCUCGAUCAAUCAAAUUAUAUCUUAUGCAAAGCUUCCAUUUGAAGCCCAAAAGUUCAGCAAAGGCAUUAGUUUCCAACAUUGAUUAUUGCUAUGCGUAGGCUUUUCUUCUUCUUCUUUUUAUCGGAAAAGAGUCCAUUUUCCUUUAGGGAGAAGCCUGGCAACAAGGCAAAAGGGCUUCUGAACAUAAUAAUAACCCCAGACUCAUACCAAAAUGCUCACGGAUUGACCAGUAACGGGAACAAAUCAACGUUGAAGACAUCUAGACAAAACAUCAAACAGGUCAUGAAGGACUCUCGGCGAGACCGAAACGAAACUCACGAACCUGCUUCAGACAGCUUCACUCUCCUAUAUCUGGGUUCGAAGGUGGAUGGACACAGAUCCCGAACAAUGGAGCAGAGCGAUGAGGAGAUUCUGAACACGUAAUCGACUCUAAAGGUCGAUCGGACCGGUUCACAUCCUCCUUGGUUCCCUUCAACCGAGCUCUUCGAUGGCCAAAUCCUUUUUCAAGCGAGCGUCCAGCAUCCUCUCCUUCUCGCUCUCGGCUGACUCUCCUUCUCCCCCGUGAAUCUCUCUUCAGCCUAUCUCUCUGCAACUUGCCUCUUCCACGGCCGCCCUCUCCAAAAACCGGCGGCGUCUCUCCUCCUCCUGUUAUGCGAACAGGAUCCUCUUGAGGCGAGCAUCCUUUCCGGCGAAGAUGUUCCUCGGCGAGCAGCUCCUAUCUCAUCUUUUCCUCUCGGAUCAGCACGCUCCCCUCGCCUCACCGAUCGAAUCUUUACUGUUAUUUCUCUCGCACGCCAGCUAGCACGGCUCUAGAAGGUGCUGGCUCAGCUCUCGUCACGGCUUGUCGCGCCUCCUUCGCUCACAGACGCGCACACGCUUGGCCUGGGGAAG